rnacentral:rRNA from 1 species
AGAGUGAACGCUGGCGGUAGGCCUAACACAUGCAAGUCGAACGGCAGCACGGUAAGAGCUUGCUCUUAUGGGUGGCGAGUGGCGGGCGGGUGAGGAAUACAUCGGAAUCUACCUUUUGGUGGGGGAUAACGUAGGGAAACUUACGCUAAUACCGCAUACGCCCUUCGGGGGAAAGCCGGGGACCAGCAAUGGCCUGGCGCUGAUAGAUGAGCCGAUGUCGGAUUAGCUAGUUGGUGAGGUUAUGGCUACACCAAGGCGACGAUCCGUAGCUGGUCUGAGAGGAUGAUCAGCCACACUGGAACUGACGACACGGUCCAGGACCUCGUACGGGGAGCAGCAGGUGGGAAUAGUGGACAAGUGGG